UAACGCGUGAGCAACCUGCCUGUGUGAGCGGAAUAACGUCCGGAAACAGACGCUAAUACCGCAUGACUCACGGACUUCGCAUGGAGACCGUGGCAAAGAUUUAUCGCACACAGAUGGGCUCGCGUCCGAUUAGGCAGUUGGUGAGGUAACGGCUCACCAAACCGACGAUCGGUAGCCGGACUGAGAGGUUGAACGGCCACAUUGGAACUGAGAAACGGUCCAGACUCCUACGGGAGGCAGCAGUGGGGAAUAUUGGGCAAUGGGGGAAACCCUGACCCAGCGACGCCGCGUGAGGGAAGACGGUCUUCGGAUUGUAAACCUCUUUCAGCAGGGAAGAAGAAGUGACGGUACCUGCAGAAGAAGCCACGGCUAACUACGUGCCAGCAGCCG
rnacentral:rRNA from 1 species